CGAUAAGAUUGCUGUUGAAUGUUUAUUUGGAAUUAAACUUAACUUAAACGUCUGAUUCAACAAGUAGGGAAGUGCGAAAGCCGCUUGAAUUAAAAUGGAAUCUAUUCAGCAAAGAUAGAUAUGAUGAUCAUACUAAAUUUUUAAAGCAAGAACUCGCAAAGUGGCAAUGUCUUAUGAAUAAUUACACGUGCAAAAGGACGGCACAUAAUCAAUUGGAAUGGAAUCUGAUAAAUCCUAUAAGAUACAAACUUUCGCCUAGAUGGAAGAGGUGGACAUAUUGUAAUGGUUUAAAAUUACCAGAUCUUUCUGCAUGGAAUAAAACUUUUAAUUUUUCCGUUAAAAAAAUUGAUUAUACAAUUUUGGAAUGUUUAGCUUACAGCAAAAGUAUUCAAAUUACAGUCAAUUAUUUAGAGGAAAAAU